rnacentral:misc_RNA from 1 species
AUGCUUUGCCAUUGAAAGUUCUAGUCCAGAGACAGCAGAGAACACUGAGAUUGCAGGCGUAAGGACUCCAUCACCGAUAACCAUACAAGUACCAAUCAAUGCUAAAAUGAGCAAAAUUUUCUUCAAAAAUCUGUGUUUCUCCAAAGUUGAUUUCAAGCUCAUCCCAAUCCUAUCAGCUGAUAAAUUUCUAUCAUUCUUGUACUCAUACAGAUCCUCAUCAGCCAAUUGGCCAUUAG